GGGGAAGUUUGAGAGACACGACUUUGACGAUCAAGGUGUUCGGUGAGAGGGAAGUACGAUGAUCUCCAAAUGGCUCAGCGAAUCCAUUGCUGCAUCAUCUCCGACGAUCGGAUUCCCGAAAACUUUGAAUUUUGUUUCUGAUCUGAUGGUCAAUUUGAGAAAAGAGAGAGUCAAUUGAUCUGAAUUGGUUUGUAUGCAGGCGUUGAUUACGCUCGUACCAGAUCCAAUACAUAGUAGCCUGCCAGCCAAGAAGGGUGAGUGGUCGAGUUGCAGUAGGGGGCGGGAGAGAGAUCAUCUGGUUGAGGGAGCUCUCCCAUCGCCGGUCCGGUCGGAACCUGCAUCUAUACGAGACUCGGUUCCACAAUUCAAACGCAAAGUCGCAUUCCGAGUAUAGAUGAUCCCGAGACUCAUCAGUUGUGUUACAUAGGAGGCAUAGUGAAGGGACCUGAAGGCCCCCAGCUGAUUAGCCUGUCUCGAGUAGGGAUCAUGUUCUGCACAACUAGCCAAGCACGAAAACUUUGUCGUGGGAUGCUUCGAGAGGUCCAAACUGCCGAUGACCAAUCAACCUCCUGGAUUUCUCCUCGCAGGAAUCCUCCACGCUCCAUUACGAUAAAGAGAGGCCAGUGUUGCAUCUUAUGGAAUUCCAAGUCGUGAUCUACCACCAUCCAAAUAUUCUCGCAAACUCCCAUAAAGACUCCAAUUGUCAAUCCAGAAUCUGCCACAUUCUCCAUUUUGUAUUCUCAGAUGAAUCAAGGGGUGACCCAUACAGAGUCCGGUCUGAAGAAGAGAAGCCAUAUUAAUCGCAGACAACAAGCUUUAUUCCACGUCUGAAGGUCCUUCACUCCCAAGCCGCCCUCCUUCUUUUUUUUUACAACCGUAGACCAGGCCACCCUCGCCGUAUUAUUAGCCUCAAGAUUUCCUUUCAACAAGAAGGCGCUGCACAUUGAGUUUAUCUUGUUCACACAAGCUUUGGGAAGCACAAAUGAUGCGCACCAAAAGGAAGAGAAGCGCGUCUUGAUCUGGUGAAGUAACGGUUCACAGCUUGCGAGAGACAUUUCCUCGAGUUCGUAGGCACUCCUAGGUAUCUUAAAGCCAACCCUGAUCUAUCUUCGAAUUCUCUGAGGACUUGGAGUACACACUGGACUGACUCUAGGUUCCCCUCGAUGAAGAUCAGUAGAUCAUCAGCAAAGGAAAGGUUUGGAGCAGGUGAAAGAGUAAAGAAGAGAGUGCCAUGAAGGAAGAAGUCAUUUUGGAAUAUCUAACGCAUAACAGCUAGUCGGAUCAAUCCGAAGGUUGUUCCCAAAAAGAGCAAGCGACUGACUGUUCCCGACUAUUAAGGAAACCUCCAAGAUUUCAGGGGUUUGCCCUAGAUUUUCUCUCCUUUCUCAGCUGCCGGCGCCUCCAUAUAAAAAGCCUAUGCUAUCAUUUGUAAUUCCUUACGCUAGUUUUACAAGAGACCUAGAAUUAUAUUGGAUUUAACAACUUGUAAAGGAGAAGGCUUCAUCUCUCAUUUUCACGAGAAGAUCAUUCUGAACCCUUGUCUUUCUAUUUUAUUUUAUAUGCAGUACUAUUCAGAAA